UACGGAGGGUGCAAGCGUUAUCCGGAUUCAUUGGGUUUAAAGGGUGCGUAGGCGGCUUGUUAAGUCAGUGGUGAAAUUGUUGGGCUCAACCCGACACCUGCCAUUGAUACUGAUGGGCUUGAGUAUAAUCGACGCGGGAGGAAUGCGACAAGUAGCGGUGAAAUGCUUAGAUAUGUCGCAGAACACCGAUAGCGAAGGCAUCUCGCGAGAUUAUCACUGACGCUGAUGCACGAAAGCGUGGGUAUCAAACAGG
rnacentral:rRNA from 1 species